rnacentral:snRNA from 1 species
UUGAUUUAGUAGCACAUAUUCUAAAAUUGGAAUUAUAUAAAGAAUAUUAGCAUGGCCCCUAUGAAAGGAAAGCUUGCAAAUUCAUGAAGCAUUCCAUAUUUUG